CCCUUAGAUGUUCUGGGCAGCACGCGCGCUACAAUGGUCUUCGCAAACGGAUGCAUUCUCGAAGGAGAAUGCCAAUCUUGGAAUCUAUGCCUUGGUCGGGACAGUUGCUUGCAAUUUUUCGACUCGAACCAGGAAUUCCUUGUAAUCGUGAUUCAUCACAUCACGAUGAAUACGUCCCUGCCCUUUGUACACACCGCCCGUCGCUCCUACCGAUCGAAGAGUUAGGUGAAUUGUUUUGAUCGAUAAGAUUUGACUAUGGUCAACUCUCGUUGUGACAUUCUGUGAAUCUGACUGUUUAGAGGAAGGAAAAGUCGUAACA
rnacentral:rRNA from 1 species